AUUAUUACACGCAAAGGUAAUAAUUAGAUAUUUUUUAGGAAACUGUUAAAUAUCUAUAUCGGGAGGAAAUGCACGAUAUA
rnacentral:sRNA from 10 species